rnacentral:hammerhead_ribozyme from 1 species
ACAUGAUGAAGAGUUCCAAAUAGGACGAAACGCGCUUCAUCUAU